ensembl:misc_RNA Y_RNA Y RNA
GGUUGGUCCAAGUACGGUGGUGUUUACAACUAAUUGAUCACAACCAGUUAUGAUUCCUUUGUUCCUUCUCCACUCCCACUGCUUCACUUGACCAGACUUUA